rnacentral:lncRNA from 1 species
AGGUGCUGACUUAGGCUGCUAAUGGAGGUCAUGUCGGUGGGCGCGACAUGAUUUAUCCACCUCUUCUACCUUAGAAGCUUCACCUAAGAUGCUUCCGGUACUCUACACACCUUUUNNNNNNNNNNNNNNNNNNNNNNNNNNNNNNNNNNNNNNNNNNNNNNNNNNNNNNNNNNNNNNNNNNNNNNNNNNNNNNNNNNNNNNNNNNNNNNNNNNNNGCCAAUCAGAAGUCUUUGAGACAACGAUGGGUGCAUGUGGGCCACUUAAUUCAGGAGGUUCUGUCACAGCUGGUAUCAGAGCUCAUACAUGGAUCUUCUGCAACAUUACUUGUGAAAAACUUCAAAAGGAAUUUACAAAUUAAAAAGUUUUGAGGAUAACAACUUAUAAAUGUUCCUUAACUUUUCUUAUGCUUGCUGUCUGAGUUCUGUGAAGACUGUCUGCUGACUCAAAUAGAAGGCAUUGAAAGGGACUUCAAUUCUUCUUCAACAAGCCAAGUGAAGAAUCAAACUACUCCAACAAUGCUUUGUCAAAAGUCUUGCAACAUUCCAUCCAGAGCGAUGAAGAUAGUUUAUAAAUAAAGCCCUAUAAUCUACUAACAUGAUGAAGAUAGAGCACUCUCGCCGUUGAGAAGACGUAUAGGCGAGCAUAUUGCAUAUCAUGCAUAACAUGACAAUAUAAUGAUACUUAAAAGCCCCUCCUUAUGCUUCAAAAACAGUUAUUAUUCGUUAUAGCUGUUUUAUUGAUGAAUCUCAUCAUGUACCAGGUUUCGUUACCUGAUUGAUAAUCUUUUACUCCAUAAGAUUCUAAUCCUUGAUUCAUUUGUUAUGCAUGUGACCUUCCUUGAUUGCAUCUAAUUCGGACACCUACUACCUCCUUGAUGUCAUUUGUCAACAUUUAUGUUGAUUGAAUGUCACUAUGAUUGUGUCCUCUUAAGGUACCAUGACCCAUAACUUAGGUAACAGCGCCGAAACCUGGGGUCUCCUAUGGCUCGCGACCAUAAGGAAAUACUGCCGGGCGCUCGCUGUUAUCAAAGUCUAUGAUCAUGAUCCCUUAUAGACCCACAACUUAAGUGACCUCACUCUUUGAACAAUAUUAUGGGAAUCCAUGCCCAUAUCUCUUUGGAAUUACCUAAAGCCCCUGACUUGGAUAACCAACAUAGGUCAUUGAAAGCUAUUGUAACUGUACUCUAUAGUAGGUACCAUGAUCCAUGAUCACGUUAUAGCGUCGAACCUUGUAGUCUCCUGUGGACUGCAGCCAUAAGGAAAUACUACAGGGUCCUCGUUAAACAUCGGGAUCUCUGGUCAUGCUCCACUAUAAUCUACUGUUAGUGUGCUUUCAUUCUCCUUGGAAGCUCAUUUGGAGAUUCAUAUCUUCGUAUGAAUUCUCUAAAAUUCCUGAUUGAUUACAACUUCUUGUUGAUCUUAGUUGUAAUUCUCGGACCAAUUGUAAUUGUUGUAUGAACUUCUCAGAAGUUAAUGUGCUUGACACAUUUCCUGUUCCAUUACUUAACACCACGAGUUUUAGUACCCUGGAAAUCUCGGGACGAGAUUUCUUUAAGGGGGAAGGGCUGUAACAUCCCUGAUGUUACGAACACUAAAACUGGAUCAUGUCAUCAUAAGCAUUGCAAAGCAUAUUUGUUAAGCACAUUAUUAUGCAUCCACUUAAAAUAAGGUUAUUUUGGUUGAUUGUGCUUAGGAAAUUAAAGUGUGCUUAUAUUGUGUAUGGAUGUUUGUGUUGGUGAUUAAAACCCUGGGUGAAAGUUUUUCCGAAAGACUUAAGGGGGGAAACCCUAAUUUCAAAAACCUAGAUUUGCCCCUUUUGUGCAAUUCAAAAACAAAGCAAAAUUUGAAGUUGAGUUCAAAAGCAAAGUUGUAGAUCUUGUCAAGAUGUACAACUUUGGUGUUUUGAGUUUUUGAAGUUUCAGUACAAAAUUCAAAGUAAUUUUGAAAAUACAGAUUUCCAGAAAUUGUCCCUUUUUCCAAUUUUAAUCCCUAAUUCAAAACCUAUUUGGAAUUUUGAAAAGUGAUCAAAAUGAAAGUUGUAGGGCUCAUCAAAAUGAACAACUUUCAUGUUGGGAGUUUUUCAAGUUGUUGUGGAAAAUCAAAAGUAAUUUUAGAAAUUCUAAUCUGCUCCAAUUCAAAAUUUGGAAUUUCCCCAAUUCGGGAUUUGAAAUUCAAACUGUUUUGUCAAAUUCGUCAUUUUCCACCCAGAAUUGGCUUUGGUCACCAAAAGAAGAUUUGUAGUUUGUAAAAUUCUGAAUAACUUUUGUUUUGGUGGAAUUUUGUCUUCAGUUCAAAAUUUGGACGAAUUUUGCAAAACCACAAAACUGGUUGGAUAAAGCCGGCUACAGUAACCGAGGUGGACCUCGGCGCUCUGUCCAGCGUGGUCGCCGCCCGCGCAGCACCGCCUGCGUGCGUGAAGGCACGCAGCUGCUUGGCUGCCUGCGUCGCCAGACGACGUGGAGGCACGACGUCCCUUCCUUUUCGCGAUAAAGCCUUCCCUCUGGACGACGCGUUCGUUCUUUCCCUUGCACCCGACGCCGGCGACCUUGCUGCGCUCCUCCAAUUCGCGUCCCUCGCUCCGUUUCCAAGCCGUUCGAGUGCACCAACAGCUCCGCCUCGAACCAAGCCACCGAUUGCGCCCCUUGCUGCAAGCUCUAAUCAUUUCUAGCCCCGGCUACGUCCGUUCUUCCUCCACUCCGGCCAAAAACGCCGCCGAGGAGCACCUCAACGUGGACAGGCCACCUCGAGCCAUUGCAGGACAAGCUACGGCCACCAGCAGGUGCGCACUAGUCCGGGCGAGCUUCCCCGAUGCUCCAAUGCCGCCGACGAGCACUCCAGCGCCGAAACCACGAUCUCCGGCGAGUUCCCCUGUUUCCAGUUCGCGACCAGGGACUUCGGGCGACAAUUUGAUGUUUCCCAGGGGUCUAUUUGCAGAGACUGUGACUCAGGUGAAUAGUGCUAUAAGGACUUGUUUGUAGAUGUUUUGCUGAAUUUUUGAAAAUUCAUAUCUGGAGUUUGGCAACUCCAAUUUUGGUGAACCAAAUUUUGUUGUGCUCCUUGAAAUGUCUAGUUUUUAUUAAAAAUAUGAAACUGACCAUGUUUUGUAGUAAAAUAAUUAGUUAUGAUUUAUGCCUUUUAAUUAUGUUUAAAAAGGAGAAAUUCAUAUCUAAUUCUGUGUAGCUCCUAUGGGCCUGAAAUUUUUAUAGUGUUUUGAUGAUGCUAUGUGAGUGUUACAGUAAAAAUUUCAUGUUCAGUGGAUGAUAUAUGGUUAAGUUAUUAAUUUAUCUUGUUUAGUGCUUAUUAAAUAGUUUACAAUUAAACUAAAAAUAAAUAAAUGUAAAAUACAGUUCCUCUGCCUUUAUAUGAGGUUGUUAUAUCAUACAGAUACAUAAUUUAGCUAUGUGUUUGUAGAAAAUGUCGAGUUUCUUAAUUAUCUUGCUGUUACAUGCUUUCUUGUGAUGGCAAUUUAUCUUUUUCAUGGAAAUUGCUAUACUUAUCCAAAUGGCAUGAAAUUAAUACAGUAGACUUUGGAGAACAUAUAUGAGCUGCUGUAGUUUUCUCAGAAUUUACUGUAUACUUUUGAUAUAUGGUUAUUGCUUUGUCUAUUUACCUAAAUAAAUUAAUAAAAACAUGAAAGGAAUUUAUUUAGGGAUGACCAUGAUGUUUUCUAGUAUCUCUUUGAUGUAUUUCAACUAUUUGUGAGCUGGGUUUUGCCCAGGUCCAAGUUUGAAAUAUUAAUGAAAUGUUAUUUGUCUAUAAUUAAUUUAUUAGUGAUUUCUGGACAGUUUCUGGAACCUUAUGAAUUGCUCUAGGUAAAUAAUGUUGGGUAUGAAACUUGUCUAUAACAAAGUUGUAUAGAAUUCAUGUAUCUAGCUGGUGUUAAAUUUUGGUGGCAUUUGGCCCUAUAGUUUCUGAGUUAUGCCUGUUUAAAUUUAAGUUUCAGAAAUGGUUCCUCUCUGUCAAAUUCUGGAUCAGUUUCUGUAGUUGUGCAAUUUCAACCUACUAAACUUAUGAAUCAUGCUUUCAUGAUAAAAGAUGAAUUGUAGUAAUUUUCAUAAGAUUUCCAAAAUGUUAUGGAUCAUGAAUUUUGGUGAUCUAGAACUCUGGUUAUAGAUGUAUGAAGCUUAAUGUCUGAUUCUGUCCAAGGUCUGGACAGAAUUGUUUAUUCAUACUGUUUGGCCAUGUUAUCUAUUAAAUCAGUUCUCGAAGAUAAUAACAAAGUUGUAGAAAAUUAUCUAAGCUUUCCAGAAAGUCUAAUAUCACCUUUGUUGGAUGCUUGGAUCUCUAAUUAUGGUUGAAUGAAGUUGUGUAUAUGCUGCUGUCCUGGUUAUGUGUGCAAAUAGAAUUGUUUGCUUUUAGCUAGCCUUUACUUAAAUAAUGAGUAACUUAAUUUCCAAAUUAGAAUUUGAGUGCUUUUGGGAUUGUGUGAUGACCUGAGGUCAUUAUCUUUUAUGACCUUUGGCAUUUAAUUAUUGUUUGAUGUUAAUACUUAAUUACUGCCAUUAAUAUUUAAUUAAGAAUUGAUUAAGAUAAAUAGAAAACCUAAUCAUUUUAGGUUUUGAUUGAUCUUUGGGAUUGAUUGACAACCAGUGGUUACUUGGCAUGAUAUGCUCCCUGGUUAAGGAUUCUUUCAUGUAAAUGAUCUUUGUUGCUUAAUAACUACACAACAUUGCUUAAGGAAGAUGAUAAAAUUUGCUUAGUAGUAAUCUAUGCUUUGAUAACUAAGUUAGUUUGUUUCUAUACCAUGAAAGUAAGUUGUACUCGAGGUAGUUAUGUUUGUUGUUAUCAUCCAAGAACAUGUAAUCUGUCUUUAUCAUGUCAUAAGCAUCUCAUUGAUCAUGCAUAUGCACUUUUACGUAUAGAAUACGCUCCGGAAGAAUCAGAUCCUCAGUGGGUCACUUCCGAGUUUGAAGAACCAUCUGGUUUUGCUGAGUUGCCGAACUUCCCUUCCGGUCAAGGCAAGCCCCGGACAUUAAACCCUAUCCUUGUAUUUUCAUAAAGUUAUUUAUAUCACUUGAGUUAAUAUGAUGCAUUAGGUGAAUAGGAGUUGAGUGAAUCCUAUUUGCUGCAUUAUCUACCUUGAUGAUUUCCAUAUUAACCUUGAUACCUGCUUUAUGAAAAUGCUUAGUAUGCUUAGCCCUGCUUAUUAGAUAAGUUUUCAAAUGAGAACGUUUGAAGGGCCGUUGUGGAAUACUUUUAUGGUUAAUAAUGUUUAAACUUGAGACCGGUCGGUGGACUUGCUUUAAGAAUGGAGUCUUAAAGUAGUGUCUCCAACUGUGUCGAUUAAGGACCGUACCGUUGAUUGGCCUGUUGUGAUUGAGACCUUUGAGUACAGCCCACAUGCGGCGGUAAGCCUUACCUAUAGCUAUUCCGAUACUUGAGAACGGCUAACCGCGUACUGGGAGUGGAAAGAUGGCGAGAGUAGCGUGUACCCACCUUACGGAUCUGAGAUGACCGGGAAACAUCUAGAUUGGCUGUAGGAUGGUGGUGUACUGUACUCUCGGGUGACGCUGGACCCGUUCUUGUAUGGGAGGAUCUAUAGCAAAGGUUGACAUAUGCAAGAUUAAGUUCUACAUAUGUCGUGUGGUACUGAAUCCCCAGCUGGGUUUAAUCGAUUCGAAUCGCCGUGUUUCCUCGGAUAUGGAGCCUCAAUCCUCACACCAUCAUCGUAGUAAUAAGUGAAUCUUUGGUAUAAGAAAGAGGUGAUUUGCUUAUGAAAGUUGGAUAAUGAUCUUGGCUAGUUAUAAGUGAUAAUCUUGAGUUAAAACUUGAAAGUAGGCUUUACUCUUAGUAAGCUUUUAUGCAAAAGAAAUGCUUUGAUCUUGCUAAAGCUUUACCUUGAAUCCCUAUAGCCUGCAUACCUGAGUCUUCACCUCUUUUCUAGUCGGUUAAGUCUUGUUGAGUACUUUUGUACUCAGGGUUUUAUAACCCCUGUUGCAGGUGCUGACUUAGACUGCUAAUGAAGGUCAUGUCGGUGGGCGCGACAUGAUUUAUCCAUCUCUUCUACCUUAGAAGCUUCACCUAGGAUGCUUCCACUACUCUACACACCUUUUGGAAAUUUAGUUAAGUUUGUAUUUCAUCAUAUGUUGUAAAUUAAGUUAUAAAUCUUCCGCACUCUGAUGUAAGUUAUUUUUGUAACAAAUGUUGUAAUGUUGUGGUAACUCCAUGUUGAUCCUGUACGAGUUAAAAUGUGGAUGAUUCGGGGUCCUCCGAGGGCACCCGACAGACUAUCCAAGUUAUAUGACUCUCGUGUGCAGUAGUCAGAGGUCUUAAGGACAAUGUCAAGUGCAUGUGGGCCAUAUAAUUAGGGUGGUUCUGCCACA